UUUAAAUGUAAAUUAUUAAACUUAAUUAUUAAUAGCUAUGUUCUUUAAAGUUUAAGGAUUUGGCGGUAUUUUAGUCUAUUUAGAGGAACCUGUUCUAUAAUCGAUAAUCCACGAUUUAUUAUACUUACUUUAUUGGUUUAUAUAUCGUCGUAGUUUGAAUGUUUUUAAAGAAUUUUAAUGUUCAAGAUUCUUAAUAAGGAAGGAAAUCAGAUCAAGGUGUAGCUUAUAGGUGAGGAGAAAUGGGUUACAAUAAAUUUAUUUAUAUGGUAUAGAUAUUUGAAAAAUUUCUAUUAAAGUGGAUUUAAAAGUAAUAAGAUUGAAUUUAAUUUUAUGAUUUUAGCUCUAAAAUAUGU
rnacentral:rRNA from 1 species